GUGGGUCAGCUGGGGUGUCUCCGCUCCUCGUGUCUCUUAUCCUCCUUGGACCUAGCCAGGAAUGCUCUCAUGGGAAUGGCAGAGGCAAAGAUGGUUGGGAGAAGAACAAUCACCAAAAAUGCAGAGUGGGGAGCGGGCCUGAGUGUUGGACCUCUCCUUAAACAAACCUUCCUGCAGCCUCCAGGUCACCAUCCUUGUCACCUCUACUGCCAGAGACAUCGAGUGCCUUGAAGUCCUGGGCUUUCCGGGGAUUCUGUGGGGUAUUUCCAGUGAAGUCCCACUCUCCUCAACCCUCAGAGGAUCUCUGGAAGGCCACACAGAACCUGGGACAGGAACCAAGGCACAGGGAUGGGAUGGAGACUCACAAUUCACUGUUAACAUUUUGAUUCUCAUUUGAAUUUUUAACACACGCAUCUAUCACUUAAAUUAAUAGUAAUGAAAUUUUAUUGCACUCUUCUUACCAAGUGCCAGGCAUUGUGCUAAGUACUUGACCAACGUUAUUCCAUUCAGUCCCAUGAAAUAGGCAAUAAUCUUAAUUCCCAUUGUUUCAUAUAGAUAUAAAGAGGGUAAGUCACAUGCCCAAGAUCAUGUAGUUAAACAUUAGCCGAGCUGGUAAUUGAACCCAGGCUGUCUGCCUCAAAUGCCCAUAGUCCUUGCCACUGCACUCUUGCCUUUUCUGCACAGAAGAUAUCUUGAAAGGGUUAUCUACACUUGCUGUCUCCACUUAUUGUCCACUCACUUCAUACAUAAGCACAAGCUGGCCUCUACCCUGAUUAAUCCAUGAACUGGGUUCUCUCCAGGGUCAAAAAUGACCUUGUCAUUAAGUCAAUUGCACAUUUCUCAGUUUGUCUUUUGCUUGACUGCUGGGAGCUAUUAGACUCUUUUGGCCACAUAUUCUUCUUGGAAUAUGAUGCAACUUUGGAUUCUCUGCAAUCACACCUUCUGGAUCAUCCACCUCUGUCUCUAUCACCUUUGCAAACUCUUCUCCUCUUCACGAUGAUCUCUCCUAGGCCUGCUUAUCCUUCCAGUCUACAUCCCCUGAGCAAUUGAAUUCACUCCCAUGAUUUCAGUGAUAAUAAAUGGCCGACGGCUUCCAAACCUUCGUCUCCAUCUUGAGCAUCCUACUGCAUCUUCCAUUGGCAAUCAGGCCUCUCCACUUAGCUGUUCCAAGGAGAACUCAGAAAGCCUUGAAUGAAUUGGACAUCAUGCUUCUGCCCAUCACCAUCAAAACCUCCCCUUCUUCCUUCAUGUUUCACAAUUCAGAAAAGCUCCACCCAGUAAAAUAAAUCAGAAAUCUGAGAGUUAGCAUUUUUGGAGGUGGGCCAGGCAGAGUGGGCCGAUAGGCAAAUGCAUGCACCACCUGCAGGGGGCAGCCUCCCCCCAGCCUCAGUGCAGGCUGCUGCCCGCCCAGAUGGAAGCCCAUAUUGCCAGACCUUUGGCCUUUUACACAACCAGCAUUGCUAUGUGAAAUGCCCUGAUUUUCAGAAAUUGGCUACUAAUUCAACCAAAUAUCAAUAAAGCACUGUGCAGGUCAAAUCUCCUGCUGACCAGGUGCAGUAUGCAGGCUGCCAGGUCACACCUCUACCUGCCCACUCUCCUGGGUCAGCACACUCUCCCCCACAGCUGCAAGGGCCAUUUCCGGCCAACACCCACAUCUCUGUCUCCGGUCUGACCUUCUUCUUCAGCUCUAGAUCCUCAAAUCCAUCUGCCCCUGCAGGCACCUCAUGCUCAACCCAUCAUCCAACACUAACAGUCCAGUGUAACCAUAUCCCUCUGCUCUUUGAGAAAAGCUAGGAAUCUGGAUUUGCAUGUGAAAUCACCAAUUUUUAAAACUCACAUUAAAAAAACCAUUUCAGAUAUAGAAAUACUUUUUAAUGGGUCAGACUUAACAUGAAGGCCCCCAAGCUGCCACCCCUGACUUAAUACAAGCUGACUAGCCACCAGGCACCAUGCUGAUGUUCAGUCCAUCUUAACCAAGGCCCUAGAGGGGGUAUUCCUAUCCACAUUCCCCUGUUUCAGGUGAGGAGGCAGGCUUAGCAAAAUAGAGUAACUCACCAGGAAGUAGCACCACUAGUCAGUGGAGCUUGCUUCUGAGGCUUAGGUAUUUUUGCCCAACUUUAUUUCCCCUUAAGUUUGAUAGUACAGUCUUGCUUUUCCUCUAUCAUUCAUUUUCAGUACCAUUUCCAUUCCCAACCUCCACUCCUUUCCCAUUAGAAGUGGUUUAUAAUUGAAGUAUACAACCACCCAAAUUCUUGUGCAAUAUCACAUACACUAAAACUGCUAAUAAGAGAAACUCUUGGUCUUCUUACUAUCUCCCGGCUUGCUCUUUCUCCUUUUCUCUUCACAGGUAUUUCCAGUAUGUUCUACUCUCCUCAAACCUCAGAGCAUCUCUGAAGGCCACACAAGAACAUUUGUGUUUUAGCCCAUUCUCAUGCUGCUAUAAAGAAAUACCUGAGACUGGGUAAUUUAUAAAGAAAAAA
rnacentral:lncRNA from 1 species